rnacentral:misc_RNA from 1 species
UCCGGUUUGUCACCGGCGGUCUCCUUAGAGUGCCCAACUUAAUGCUGGCAACUAAGGACAAGGGUUGCGCUCGUUGCGGGACUUAACCCAACAUCUCACGACACGAGCUGACGACAGCCAUGCACCACCUGUGAUCCUGCCCCGAAGGGAAGCCCUGUUUCCAGGACGGUCAGGAACAUGUCAAGCCCAGGUAAGGUUCUUCGCGUUGCGUCGAAUUAAACCACAUGCUCCGCUGCUUGUGCGGGCCCCCGUCAACUCAUUUGAGUUUUAACCUUGCGGCCGUACUCUCCAGGCGGUCAACUUAAUGCGUUAGCUACGGCACGGAACCCGUCGAUAGAGCCCCACACCUAGUGCCCAACGUUUACGGCGUGGACUAC